rnacentral:rRNA from 1 species
UUCCGGUUGAUCCUGCCGGACCCGACCGCUAUCGGGGUGGGGCUAAGCCAUGGGAGUCGCACGCUCCGCCGCCGCGGGGCGUGGCGCACGGCUGAGUAGCACGUGGCUAACCUACCCUCGGGAGGGGGAUAACACCGGGAAACUGGUGCUAAUCCCCCAUAGGGGAAGGCGCCUGGAAGGGUCCUUCCCCGAAAGGGUUUGGCAGGGGUUAUCGCUGCCAAGCCGCCCGAGGAUGGGGCUACGGCCCAUCAGGUAGUUGGCGGGGUAAUGGCCCGCCAAGCCGAUAACGGGUGGGGGCCGUGAGAGCGGGAGCCCCCAGAUGGGCACUGAGACAAGGGCCCAGGCCCUAAGGGGCGCACCAGGCGCGAAACCUCCGCAAUGCGGGCAACCGUGACGGGGCCACCCCGAGUGCCCCCUUUCCGGGGGCUUUUCCCCGCUGUAGGUAGGCGGGGGAAUAAGCGGGGGGCAAGUCUGGUGUCAGCCGCCGCGGUAAUACCAGC